UACGGAGGAUGCAAGCGUUAUCCGGAAUGAUUGGGCGUAAAGCGUCCGCAGGUGGCUAUGUAAGUCUGCUGUUAAAGAGUGAGGCUCAACCUCAUAAGAGCAGUGGAAACUACAUGGCUAGAGUGCGUUCGGGGCAGAGGGAAUUCCUGGUGUAGCGGUGAAAUGCGUAGAGAUCAGGAAGAACACCGGUGGCGAAAGCGCUCUGCUAGGCCGCAACUGACACUGAGGGACGAAAGCGUGGGGAGCAAACAGG
rnacentral:rRNA from 1 species